ACGAACGCUGGCGGCAUGCCUCACCCAUGCCAGUCGCACGAGACCUUCGGGUCUAGUGGCGCACGGGUGCGUCACGCGUGGGAACCUGCCCUUAGGUUCGGAAUAACUCCCCGAAAGGGGUGCUAAUACCGGAUAAUGUCUUCGGACCAAAGAUUUAUCGCCUUUGGAUGGGCCCGCGUUGGAUUAGCUAGUUGGUAGGGUAAAAGCCUACCAAGGCGACGAUCCAUAGCUGGUCUGAGAGGAUGAUCAGCCACACUGGGACUGAGACACGGCCCAGACUCCUACGGGAGGCAGCAGUGGGGAAUAUUGGACAAUGGGCGAAAGCCUGAUCCAGCAAUGCCGCGUGAGUGAUGAAGGCCUUAGGGUUGUAAAGCUCUUUUACCCGGGAUGAUAAUGACAGUACCGGGAGAAUAAGCUCCGGCUAACUCCGUG
rnacentral:rRNA from 1 species